GGAGGGUAAUACUCUAACCAAUAACAAGCGAGAUUAAUUUUACUGAUCCCACUGUCAUGGAAAUAGAAUUGCCAUUAUUUAUGUCUUGCUCUUCCAUUAAACUAUACAUACAAACUUUCACUGCUGCUUUCUAACUUAUGAUGAUUUUAUAUAUAUUGAACUUUCACCCUCAUUUUCUAUUGACCUCAGCCUAAAGAGGAGAAGAUCUAAUGGUGGCAAAUAUAACUUUCUGGAGCGUCUUUCAGGGGUUGCACACCUGUUGUCUCAGAUGGUUGAGCCAAUGUUAAGGGCCGCUGCGUAUCCUUCUUGGUUUUUUUUUUUUUUUGCAUAUUAAUACUUCCUUUUAUAUGUUGAUUAUGGGAUAAGAUUCACUUAUGGAAGUUGAUGGCCAUUAAUGCCAUUGGUGAUUUCCUUUUAGACUUUUUAAAUCUUUAAGUAAUAGGAAGAGCAUAGCUUGAGUUGUUCAUUUUCUUUCAUAAUUCUUAGGGUGUGUAGGUGAUUGGAGUAAAACCAGGGUGUGUUUGUAAACACCGUGAGUGCUUACUUAUGUGCAUAUAGCAAACCUUUUCUAAACUUAUGAAUUGAUUUUUAUUUUUUACCUUUUAGUAACUAAACUUGUGUGUUUUCUACUGAAGCAUACAUUCUUUAGAAAUUGAAGUCAAAUAAAAUAUAACUUGAGAAAUAUCAUAAUACGAAAAAUAUAUACUUAUAUCCCGUAAAGAAGUUUUUUUUUUUAAUGAGAAACAUAAGUUAAAGACCGACACAAAGUAAAGGUCAUAAGUACCAAUAGGGCAAUGACCAUUUCAAAAAUGGCUAUAAAUGAAACUAUGGAUCAGGCCAAUGAAUAUGACCCUUAAGCUUUGGCCCAUUUAGCCUAUCACAUCCAUCAAAUUUCCUUAGCCCAUUUCUCAGACGAAUUCAACCCGAACACCUAUUGCUCCGCCGCUCGGAGCACACUAGUCGCCGGUCGACGAUCGCCGCCCGUCGCCCGCCGCCACCGCCCUAAAAUUAUGGGCUCCGAGAUGGAAGUAGUUGAGCAGAGGCUAAAUACUUUUGUAAGUCAGCUCCAGACAGAGUUUGCCAUUCUCGAUCGUCUCGUUUACAAAAACAAAAACCAGCAUAGAAGAUGCUCAUAUUUUCAGUACCUCUUAAAGGUUGUAUGUUUACCAAUAUUUCUUCAUAUAUGCAUGUGUAAUGACCUUAUUCUCGUAGUUUCUUGUCUUACAAUUUCUGUUAUUAUUCGUUGUUUCAUGUGCUUUGGUUAUCACAUUAUUUGGCUACUGCUAUUGUUCCUUGUCUUUACUUCUGUUUGGUAUGCGUUACUUGAACCAAUGGUCUUUUAGAAACAACCUCUUAGCUUUGUGUUCCUUGAGUAUGUUUCUGCCCUAAAUUAAGAAAGAGUAUAGUGCUCGUUUUGAUAAGAGUAUUGCAUACUAUCUGCUGGAAUGUUUUCAACGUCCCCCUUAUGCAACUAUGGGAAUUUCUUUUCGCUACUAUCUUUUACUACGGUUCACGUCUGUCUUUGAACUGGCCAAAAAACUUUCUAUUUGAAUGGAAUUCCACAAUUGCAUAAGAUUCGAUCUCGAACGAUUAUACGUUUGGUUAAUUGGUUAGGUGUCGAUAGCACCAUAACCUUUGCUUUGGUCUAUACUAUGCGUAAGGGUAAAGGUUUGC